rnacentral:Y_RNA from 1 species
GGCUGCUCUGACAGUAGUGGAUUACCCAAACUUAUUAACAGUAGUGUCACUAAAGUUGGUAUACGACUCCUCACUGCUAAAUUUGACUAACUUAAA